rnacentral:rRNA from 1 species
CUACGGGUCGCACCAGUGAGGAAUUUUGGACAAUGGGGGAAACCCUGAUCCAGCGACGCCGCGUGAAGGACGAAGGUCUUCGGAUUGUAAACUUCUUUUGUCUGGGAAUAAUAAAUCGGUAGAAAUACUGAGAUUGAAUGUACCAGUUGAAUAAGCCACGGCUAACUUCGUGCCAGCAGCCGCGGUAAUACGAAGGUGGCGAGCGUUACUCGGAAUGACUAGGCGUAAAGGGCAGGUAGGUGGUCUGGUUAGUCUGUUGUGAAAGCUCCUGGCUUAACUGGGAGAGGUCAACAGAUACUACUAGGCUUGAGUAUGGGAGAGGUAACUGGAAUUCCCGGUGUAGCGGUGAAAUGCGCAGAGAUCGGGAGGAACACCAAUGGCGAAAGCAAGUUACUGGACCAUUACUGACACUCAGCUGCGAAAGCUAGGGGAGCAAACAGGAUUAGAUACCCGAGUAGUC